GGGGGCGGUGACGGUUACAGGGGGCGGUGACGGUUGGGUCCCCGCGUGGCGCAGGCGGUGACGCGCGGCGGCGGAGCUGAGGCCUCGGCGCCUGCGGUUGCCGGGGCGGGUCCCGGUCCCGGUCCCGGUCCCGGGCUGGGAGCGAGGCGGUGUCGAAGGCCAGCGGCGGGCCCGCCGCCAUCUCGCAUCUCCCCCCCCGCUCCUUCCCUCGGAAGCCAUGGACGCGCGGGCGCGGGCCAAGCGCUACGAGAAGCUCGAUUUCCUCGGCGAGGGGCAGUUCGCCACCGUGUACAAAGCGAGGGAUAAGAACACCAACCAGAUCGUGGCUAUUAAAAAGAUUAAACUUGGGAAUAGAUCAGAAGCUAAAGAUGGAAUCAACAGGACAGCCCUCAGGGAGAUAAAGUUGUUACAGGAGCUAAGCCAUACAAAUAUUAUUGGUCUUAUAGAUGCGUUUGGCCACAAAUCCAAUAUUAGCUUGGUGUUUGAUUUUAUGGAAACAGAUCUAGAGGUAAUUAUAAAGGAUAGUAGUAUUGUGUUGACUCAGUCUCACAUCAAAGCAUACAUGCUGAUGACGCUUCAAGGAUUAGAAUAUUUACAUCAGCACUGGAUUCUACACAGGGAUCUUAAGCCAAAUAAUCUGUUAUUAGAUGAAAGUGGGGUUUUAAAAUUGGCUGACUUUGGCUUGGCAAAAUCUUUUGGAAGCCCAAAUAGAGUUUAUACACACCAAGUAGUAACAAGGUGGUACCGAGCCCCAGAAUUAUUGUUUGGUGCUAGAAUGUAUGGUGUUGGUGUUGAUAUGUGGGCUGUCGGUUGUAUUUUAGCAGAGUUGCUCCUCAGGGUUCCUUUCUUGCCAGGAGACUCUGAUCUUGACCAGCUGACAAGGAUAUUUGAAACACUGGGCACUCCAACAGAAGAACAGUGGCCUGAUAUGACAAGUCUUCCAGAUUAUGUCACAUUUAAGCCUUUCCCUGGGAUGCCGCUUCAGCAUAUCUUCAGUGCAGCUGGUGAUGAUUUGCUCAGUCUUCUGCAAGGCUUAUUCACUUUUAAUCCUUGUGCUAGGGUUACAGCUACUCAGGCGUUGAAACAGAAGUAUUUCAGUAAUCGACCAGGACCCACUCCAGGAAGCCAACUACCCAGACCCAACUGUCCUGCAGAAGCUGUAAAGGAGCAACAAAAUGCAAUUCCAAAUUUAAAAAGGAAAAGAACAGAAGGAAUAGAUCAAGCCUCAAGAUUGCAAUAAAUGAUGGAGGGAGAUCCAGCUGGGAAAACUAUACCAGCCCUCCUGUCAACCUGUGGCUGUUGAACAUUUCAUAGUGCAGAUACUGUGCUCAGCUCUUCAAGUUGCCUGACUUCCAGCAUAACUGUGUUGCAAAGUGGCUGCUGGGCAACCAGACUUCUUCAGUGGAUAGAAACAAGCCAGUAGAUGCUGUUGAUGCGCAGCCUAACUGCGUGCCCUCCCCUGUUGUGCAGUGGAUCUCAGGGAUACCCGAGCAGCAUUCUGACUGGACUUCAAAGUCCUGAAACAUUCAGCCACUAAUACAGGUACAGAAUCUUUCAGUGAGUAUACUCAUGCCUAACUCUUGAGCAUAACAAAUAGAGCUUGUAUGGCAGUGGCAAUUUUGUGUUGUACCAGCUCUGCCGUGAGAGUUACUUCAUUCCUUUCUUGUCAAACACAGCAUAUGCCUAGACCACACCCUGGCCUGAAGGGAACCUUUUCCAGUAGAACAAGGAGCAAUCCUCCAAGCUGCUAUUGGCGAAACUUGUCAAGUAGAUACUGAAUUUGAGCAUUUGUUUAUUGUGCUCUGCAAGAGAGGUUGAAAAGAGGACAUUGAGCAUUUUGUAACCUAUGCUGCUGACCUGUGUGCUUCCAAUCAUGUGUCUAUCACAGAAGACUUGAAUUAAAAAAGCAGUGCUCCUAUAUAAUAGAAGGUCAGGAACCAUUCUCUUCCAAAUCCCACACUGGAAUUCAUUUGUCAUACUGUGUGCUGCAGGUAAGGCUGUUGUGUGCUGUGAGUGUAUAUAGCAGCUCAUCAUGUCUUGACUUCAUCUGUGUUUGUGAACGAAGCCUUCUGUGUCAGGGACUAAACUUUGCUCUUAAUGGUGGUUUUGUGCAUACCUUAAGUGUACAUAUACCACAGAGUAAGAUAAGAUUAGAAAAAACAUCAGCACAAUAUUUUUUUCUUGAUUUCAGUCUUUUGGAUAGUUUGACUUAACUCUUUUGACUUAGGUCAGAACUCUGGAAGAAGCAUUUGUGACUACUGCUGACUAUCAAUUACUAUGCAACUGGUCAUCUCUACUGUUUAAAUUUGUAGCUAGCUUACCUUGCAAGCUUUCUGUCAUGCUAACGAUGCUUCAGCUUGGACAAUCUGUUUUAUCACACCAGCACAUUAAAUAUAUAACUGUUGCAACCUACUUGGCUUCUGUUAAGAUUAACGGUGGUCAUGUAUGGUUUGUCUUGAGCUUGCAAUAUGUGUGCUUAUGUAAUUGCACAAGUGUACAAGAUAAGCCUUUAUACAAACUGGAACUUAAUCUAAAUGCCUUCUCUCUUGGAUUGAGACAGUUUCCCUGCCCUCAUCACUUUUUUUUUUAAAUUGUGAGCCACUUUCAGACCUACUGGAGUUUGAGUAACUUCUGUAGAUUGUGCUGAUAUUACUUAUAUAAUUUAAUAAAGCCUUUUUUUUUUCCUUUCUAUGUUGCCACAAUAAAAGCAGCAAAACUCACUGUAAGAACACACAAUACAGAAAGGGAACGUGCUCUCUGUUCUAAACAAAACUGAUUUUGUUUUCUCACAGAGACUGGGGUUACUUGUGAUAACACGGAGAGGCAAGACUCCUAGCUGUCAUGUCUUCAUCUCAUCUCCUUGAUUCUUCAUUAGUGCCAACACUGUAUGAUCCCUCCAGCCUCUAUGCUCUUUUGACAAAGAAGUUUAGAGCCAGGAUGAGGUGUAACACUGCUGCUUUGCAUUUGUGGUACGUUCUUAUCUAUGGUAUAGCCUCCAUACUGUGAGCACUCCAGGCAGUUCUGCUAGUUCUUUGCUUCUGCCAGUGUUUGUUCUUGGUUUUGUGACUGUCCCUGUUCCUGCAUAUACAGUAUUCUCUUAACUCUUGCUUGGCCACUUCUUCUGGUGUAUGGUCACUUAUGCUCCAUGUACACCAGUAUGAUGAUUCCUUUACAAACCUCUAAAAUUGUAGCAGGUUUCACCUGACUUCAUAUUAUUUGCUUCUCAGAUAGAAGGGAGGAAUUACUACAAGAAAGCUGUGGUUUAGGUUGUUUUUUAUUGAACCUCCUCCACUUCUCCUUGCAUUUCAUACUGUAUUAUAUCAACUCUGUCUGAGGUAAGGUAUUCUCUCCACGCAGCUGUAAUAAAAUCACAGGAUAAAUCAGGUCUAAGUUUAGUUUGGUUGAGAUGGGGAGCUUCUCGGAGAGCUAAAUUGAGUUUUUUGAACACUCUUCUUCACAGACUGUAAUGACGUGUAGUAGUAUGAGAGGAUGUGAAAGAGACAUGUAUGGCUGUAGCUCUUCGGGGCAUGAGAGACAGUAUUGUGUAAGAUAACCUUAUAUUGAUUCUUCUCUUCCCAAAGGCCUGAUGGGUGUUAGAUUUAUUCUCCCUAUAACCCAUCACCACCACCUGGAAGGCACCAGCAGCAGCUCUGUUAUUGCUAGCUUGAGAACUCCAUCUUGCAUUUCUCUUAACACAUCUCAAUCACUGGUGCAAACUUCAUUCAUCUUUUUUUGUAUCUCUCUGUCAAGCUUACCCAAAUAGAACUGGGAUAAAAUAUAAGUUUUGAUGCUAUUGAAAUAUCCUCGUGUCAUCUCUGUGUUCAGUUCUAAGUUUUUUAAUUUAUUUUUUACUCCGUUUGUGAGAAACUUAUUCAGCAAAUAAUUAUUUCUUUUUAGAAACCCUUAUUCUUUCAAACAGUUACUUAAGGAGUUUCUGUCUUCCUUACAAGAAUUGAAUCUGCAGACAGGCAGGCAGGUCCUGCGUGAGAAUGUCCUGAAAAACACGCUGUGUAGUCAGCACAGAGGCUGCCAGUGUUGUGACUAUUUCUUCUAGUGCAGUCAGUUCAAACUUUACCCAGAAACCUGCAUACAAGCAGCAUUCACCACUGCCAUAAAAACAGAAUGGUAUGCAAGGAAAGGAGGAGGAGAAGAUGGCAUUUUGCUCUUAAUUUACGUGUAAUGGAAUGUGGUAUAUUGCUUACUCCAGGAGAUUUGUGCCACUUUAGUAGGGAUUCUGGCAGUUGCAGUGACCUGACUUUGAAAACAGAAUGUGGACUGUGUGCUUCGUUUUUGAAAAAGCUCCAGUUUGGGUCAGACUGGUAGGCAGGUACCUUCCAAUAGUACUUAGGCCAUCCAUCAAGCUUAACUGCAGGAGUUCAGAUGUCGAUAUACAUUCAGACACAUUUUUCCUGCCAUCGGAGGUAGUGUCUGUCAGAUACAUGAAGCAGGUAGUCAGAUGCAGUAACAAUUUGAACUGUCUUCCUGAUACUUGUUUUUCUGAAAGUCCUUGUUCUGCCAGCUUGGAGCUCCUGUGAGGAUGGGAAACUGGCCUGACUCUCAGCAUGUAGUUUAUGCCUGCAUUACUUCAUAUUCUUGAAUAAGAUCCUUUACUUUGACCUUAUUUAGUAACCUGGGGGCACGCACGUUUUCUCUCUUUCAUCUGUCACUCAUUAACUCCAGUAAGGGUAAAUAAGGCAGCACCAGACUCCCAGCUGCUGGCUGCUUACCUCAGUGUCAGAAAUGUGUAAAUGUGGCUGGGAACUCUGCCGUCUCCUACGAGCACAAUGUGUCCUUAGUGCCACCAGAGUUAAAUGUCUAUGACAGUUAUUUGUAAGGUGAAGGCAUUAAGUAACCUGAGAUGUCAUUAAUUAAAACCUGAUUUAGGAAUUAGAAGUUGGACUGCAUACACUUAACAGGUCAGAAAGAAUGACAUUUAUAACUGGUUGUACAUGGUACUGGGCUAAAAAGUGUCAAUAAAAAUGUGCAAAUGCAUCAACUGUAGAGUUCGGUACACAGCUAUGUAUUGCUAUCAUAAUGUAGUUUGGUUACAAAAGUUACCUAUGCAGAAAGGUUUAAUUGUUGCACCUCAUUAAUAGAAAAUGCAGGUUUUAAUCUAUGUUAAAUUUGAGUUGCAGUGGGGAAAAAAAAAGCAGUUUAUUAGGCUAUAAUUCUUUAAAACCUUUAUUACGCAAAUUUGUCUGGAAAUGCUGUUUUUUUUUGUGUAAAGAUUAAAAUCUUCAACUACUA